rnacentral:rRNA from 1 species
AACGAACGCUGGCUGCAGGCUUAACACAUGCAAGUCGAGCGCCCCGCACGGGGAGCGGCAGACGGGUGAGUACCGCGUGGGACCGUACCCUUAUCUUCGCGAUAGCUCCGGGAAACUGGAAUUAGUACCGAAUGUCCCCUUUGGGGGAAAGAUUUAUCGGCUUAGGAUCGGCCCGCGUGGGAUUAGCUAGUUGGUGGGGUAAAGGCCUACCAAGGCGACGAUCCAUAGCUGGUCUGAGAGGAGGAUCAGCCACAUUGGGACUGAGACACGGCCCAAACUCCUACGGGAGGCAGCAGUGGGGAAUAUUGGACAAUGGGCGCAAGCCUGAUCCAGCCAUGCCGCGUGAGUGAUGAAGGCCUUAGGGUUGUAAAGCUCUUUCACCGGAGAAGAUAAUGACGGUAUCCGGAGAAGAAGCCCCGGCUAACUUCGUG